rnacentral:rRNA from 1 species
UACCAGCUCUCCGAGUGGUGGGGACGCUUAUUGGGCCUAAAGCAUCCGUAGCCGGCUGGUCAAGUCCCCUGUUAAAUCCAGCGAUUCAAUCGUUGGACUGCGGGGGAUACUGUCCAGCUAGGGGGCGGGAGAGGCCGACGGUAUUCCCGGGGUAGGGGUGAAAUCUUAUAAUCCCGGGAGGACCACCAGUGGCGAAGGCUGUCGGCUAGAACGCGCCCGACGGUGAGGGAUGAAAGCUGGGGGAGCGAACCGG